rnacentral:rRNA from 1 species
ACUCGGUGAGCUACUUCGAGACAGUCUUAAGAACGUACCCGUCUCUGUCGCAAAAGAGUGGGAAGAUCUCCAAGUAGGGGCAACAAACCUACCGCACCCAGAGAUAGCUGGUUACUCAAGAAAAGAAUUUAAGUUCAACCUAAAGUUUCUCGAUUAUACAAAAUAAAAACUUUAGAGCCACUCAAAUAAGGCACAGCUUAUUUGAAACAGGAUUCAACCUACACCAUCGGGUAAUUAUACUAAACAAGUAAUAAGUGGGCCUAAAAGCAGCCACCUACAAAAAGCGUUAAAGCUUAAUACCAAUUUUUACCUAAUAUCUUUACUCCCCUAGAACCCCUCACUAAUAUUGAGUAACUCCAUAAACUUAUGGAAGCUAUUAUGCUAGAACUAGUAACAAGAAAUAGAUUUUCUCCUAAAAUGUAAGCCUAAGCCACAAUAGAC